UACCAGCACCCCGAGUGGUCGGGACGAUUAUUGGGCCUAAAGCAUCCGUAGCCGGUCCUGCAAGUCUUCCGUUAAAUCCAGCUGCUCAACAGAUGGGCUGCGGGGGAUACUACAGGGCUAGGAGGCGGGAGAGGCAAGCGGUACUUUAUGGGUAGGGGUAAAAUCCGUUGAUCCAUAGAAGCCCACCAGUGGCGAAGGCGGCUUGCCAGAACGCGCUCGACGGUGAGGGAUGAAAGCUGGGGGAGCAAACCGG
rnacentral:rRNA from 1 species